rfam:Solanum lycopersicum cultivar Heinz 1706 chromosome 8, whole genome shotgun sequence.
AUACCUUUCUCGGCCUUUUGGCUAAGAUCAAGUGUAGUAUCUGUUCUUAUCAGUUUAAUAUCUGAUAUGUGGAUCAUCGAUCCACACGAUAUUAACUCAAUUUUUUAAGGGGAAGAGUCCAUUAAGGUAGCUUGCUACCUGGGCUCUUGAGCGUCGCCCAUGCGUUGCACUACUGCUUGGGCCUGGCGCACCCCAC